rnacentral:ncRNA from 2 species
AACUCAUCGAGAGAGAUUGAGGGAACUGGCCCAAUGAAAUCCGGCAACCGAGCUUGUGCUAAGGUGCUAAAUCCAGCGGUAUAGCCAAAAAAAUUGGUAUCCGGAAGAUGAGGG